CUCUUUGGUUAUCUAGCUGUAUGAAAGUUCUUAAACGACUUCAUAAAGCUAGGUUACCAAAGUU
rfam:Orchesella cincta Ocin01_Sc0031, whole genome shotgun sequence.